UACAGAGGGGGCAAGCGUUAUUCGGAAUUAUUGGGCGUAAAGGGCGCGUAGGCGGCCAUUCAAGUGACGGGUGAAAGCCCUCGGCUUAACCGAGGAACUGCCUGUCAGACUGGAUGGCUUGAGACCGGGAGAGGUGAGUGGAAUUCCCAGUGUAGCGGUGAAAUGCGUAGAUAUUGGGAGGAACACCAGUGGCGAAGGCGGCUCUCUGGUACGUGACUGACGCUGAGACGCGAAAGCGUGGGGAGCAAACAGG
rnacentral:rRNA from 1 species